UCCGAUAUGGUGUAGUGGUUAACAUUAUCGCCUCUCAGAGAAGUUUCUUUCGAACUAGUUCGCGAUAGCCCGGGGUUCGAUUCCCCGUGUCGGAA